rnacentral:lncRNA from 1 species
AAAAGAAUAGUUAAGGUCAUGUAAGGAGGCAAAAUGGAGAAUUCUGCUGUAGAGGAAAAGGGUGUCUGUGUUGUCAAAUGUGGUUGUACGAAGAGUAUAGGCAUGUACUUGUUUGAGCUGAGAAAUGGAAGUGCAUUGUGUUAAGAUUUGGAGGAUAUGGCGCCGAUGUUCACUAGUGUUGGUGCUGCUGUUGAUGGCGUAAGUUGUUGGCCUUGGUGUAGUUGCUAAAAUCAUCUUAUUCCGAGGCUACUC